ensembl:misc_RNA Y_RNA Y RNA
AGCUGGUACAAUAGUAGUAAGUUAUCUGAAUUGAUCAUUAGGUUAUAGAUUGAACUCCCUUUUUCUGCUCUUUACUGUUUUCUUGCUACUGCAUUUGAUUAGUCUUUA